rnacentral:rRNA from 1 species
CGCGGCCUAUCAGCUUGUUGGUGAGGUAAUGGCUCACCAAGGCUUCGACGGGUAGCCGGCCUGAGAGGGCGACCGGCCACAUUGGGACUGAGAUACGGCCCAAACUCCUACGGGAGGCAGCAGUGGGGAAUAUUGCACAAUGGGCGAAAGCCUGAUGCAGCGACGCCGCGUGAGGAUGACGGCCUUCGGGUUGUAAACCUCUUUCAGCAGGGACGAAGCGCAAGUGACGGUACCUGCAGAAGAAGCACCGGCUAACUACGUGCCAGCAGCCGCGGUAAUACGUAGGGUGCGAGCGUUGUCCGGAAUUACUGGGCGUAAAGAGUUCGUAGGCGGUUUGUCACGUCGUGUGUGAAAUCCCACAGCUUAACUGUGGGCUUGCAGGCGAUACGGGCAGACUUGAGUACUGCAGGGGAGACUGGAAUUCCUGGUGUAGCGGUGAAAUGCGCAGAUAUCAGGAGGAACACCGGUGGCGAAGGCGGGUCUCUGGGCAGUAACUGACGCUGAGGAACGAAAGCGUGGGGAGCGAACAGGAUUAGAUACCCUGGUAGUCCACGCCGUAAAGGUGGGUACUAGUUGUGGGUCCCUUCCACGGGAUCCGUGACGCAGCUAACGCAUUAAGUACCCCGCCUGGGGAGUA